AUAAGAUAGAUGCAUCUCAGAUGUCUGUACAGCCCAAGGAAGGUUUGCAAAGAAGCAGGCUCCAGACUGAGGACAGGAGGACUUGAUUUGGAGAAGACAAUGCUCAGCAGCUUACUACACAUACAAGGAAAUGAAGGAAUCAUUUAAAGUUAAGCAGAGCUUUCUGAGAUGCCUUGGGGAAGAGAGUCAAGAUAGAGGAGUAUUUCGAGAAAGUGAAGGUGUGCAGAAGAAAAGGUGAAACAGGCUGAAGGUGGAGCAUGGGGGUAGAGAGAGGACACCUGCUGAGGGAUCAGGAGGCAGGGACCAGAAGAAAAAGGAAAAGAACCGGAAGGAAUGUACGCAUAAGACCCACAAUAAAUGGACUACAUUGAAAAGAAGCAGAUCAGAUAAAACUGUGUGUACUUACAGCAACGAGUUAAAAGGCAGACUUUGGAGCUGGGGAUGUGGCUCAGCAGUGCAGUGCUUGCCCAAAAUGCAUGAGAUCCUGGGUUUGAUCCCCAGCACAGUAAGAACAAAGCAAAAAAGGGAAACUUGAAUGCUAUAUGUAACUUUCUUUACUUAGGCCACAGAAUUUAGUUACUGGUGUCUCCAUCAACUCUUAUUUCAGAACAGGAAAUUGAGUGUGCGUGAAGUGUGUUCCCCUGUGAGGAAAUUUGAAGUGGAAUAGAGCCCACAGCCUUGAGGGGGCCUCAGCACAGUGUCCGUACCCUCAGAUCAUCCACGACUCCACAAGGUGCCGGGUGGCAGUGGAGUGUGAGAGGGAAGCACAAGGGACUCACCCUGGG
rnacentral:lncRNA from 1 species